AUUGAACGCUGGCGGCAGGCCUAACACAUGCAAGUCGAACGAGUGGCGGACGGGUGAGUAAUGUCUGGGAAACUGCCUGAUGGAGGGGGAUAACUACUGGAAACGGUAGCUAAUACCGCAUACCAUCAGAUGUGCCCAGAUGGGAUUAGCUUGUUGGUGGGGUAACGGCUCACCAAGGCGACGAUCCCUAGCUGGUCUGAGAGGAUGACCAGGCAGACGGGAACGGGGACACGGUCCAGACUCCUACGGGAGGCAGCAGGGGGGAAUAUUGGAGAAUGGGGGAAAGCCUGAUGCAGCCAUGCCGCGUGUAUGAAGAAGGCCUGCGGGUUGUAAAGUACUUUCGGCGGGGAGGCGGUAUCCGCAGAAGAAGCACUGGCUAACUCCGUGCCAGCAGCCGCGGUAAUAC
rnacentral:rRNA from 1 species